rnacentral:sRNA from 1 species
UCAGCCCCAGUCCCCGAAGACUGCUGGAUUCCCAUUGGCAGAGUGGGGUUGGGUUCUGGACAGAUGGGACAGAUGCAUGCUACCACAGGUCACUGGGGGAGCUUGUGAGUCUGCUGCUGCUUCCAAGACUCAUCCCUAUUGUAUGUAUCAGCAUUCCUUGUUGCUGAGUCAUAGUCCGUUGUAUGGACAUACCACAGUUUGUUUAUCCAGUCACCUGUGGAUGGAUGUUUUGAGUUGUCUCCAGUUUUUGGCGGUUAUGAGUAAAGCUGCUGAGAACGUUCAUGAACAGGUGAUGAGAAGCUACAAGGCGACCAUCCAGCAGACCUUGGACAUCCUAUUCCUCCGGGAAGGCUCCGAGUUCCUGAGCAGCACAGAUGCUUCCACCCGGGACUCGGCUGACCGCACCAUUAUUGCCUGGGAUUUCCGGACCUCUGCCAAAAUCUCCAACCAGAUUUUUCACGAGAGGUUCACCUGCCCCAGCCUCGCCUUGCACCCGAGAGAGCCCGUGUUCCUGGCACAGACCAAUGGCAACUACCUGGCCCUUUUCUCCACUGUGUGGCCCUACCGGAUGAGCAGACGGCGGCGCUAUGAAGGGCACAAGGUGGAGGGCUACUCAGUGGGCUGCGAGUGCUCUCCAGGCGGUGACUUGCUGGUGACGGGCAGCGCCGAUGGCCAGGUCCUGAUGUACAGCUUCCGCACAGCCAGCCGAGCAUGCACACUGCAGGGGCACACACAGGCCUGUGUCGGCACCACCUACCACCCUGUGCUGCCCUCCGUCCUCGCCACCUGCUCCUGGGGAGGGG